ACCGCCACGGAUGGCGGUGGUUCCAUGCAGAAAUGAGUUUUGUCCGCACAUAAAGUAAAUGGACAAAACUCAUUGUGAAGCAUUGUACACGGAUGUACAAUGCUUCACAUGC
rnacentral:sRNA from 1 species